CACGAUAUAGCUCAGCGGUUUAGAGCAUACGAUUGCAAUUCUGUAUAUCGUGAGGUCCCGUGUUCGAUCCACGGUAUCGUCU